UACGUAGGUGGCAAGCGUUGUCCGGAUUUACUGGGCGUAAAGAGCGCGCAGGCGGUCGUUCAAGUCGCGUGUGAAAGCCCCCGGCUCAACUGGGGAGGGUCACGCGAUACUGAUCGACUCGAAGGCAGGAGAGGGAAGUGGAAUUCCCGGUGUAGUGGUGAAAUGCGUAGAUAUCGGGAGGAACACCGGUGGCGAAGGCGGGUCUCUGGGCCGAAAUUGACGCUGAGGAGCGAAAGCGUGGGGAGCAAACAGG
rnacentral:rRNA from 1 species